rnacentral:tmRNA from 2 species
GGGGGCGUUUAUGGAUUCGACAGGGGUCCCCAGAGCUUAUGAAGCGUGUCGGAGGGUUGUCUCCGUAAAAACACAUCAGUUUAUAAUAACUGGCAAAACUAACAAUAACUUAGCAGUAGCUGCCUAAUCGCGCUCUGCAUCACCUAAUCGCAUCGCCUAUGUGCGAUUAACGUGAUUCAACUAUAGUAGGAUACGCUCGCCACUGCCGUUUGAAGUCUGGCGAGAAGAGAUGAACCAAGCUCGCAUAAUGUCAGUUGUCUGUUUCUAAUCAUUAUGUUAAAUCUUCAAAUAGACUACACACGUAGAAACAUUUGUAUCAGGACCUUUGGACGCGGGUUCAAAUCCCGCCGUCUCCACUA